rnacentral:rRNA from 1 species
UACGUAGGGGGCUAGCGUUGUCCGGAUUUAUUGGGCGUAAAGAGCGUGUAGGCGGCCAGGUAGGUCUGCUGUGAAAACUCGAGGCUCAACCUCGAGACGUCGGCGGAAACCAUCUGGCUAGAGUCCGGAAGAGGUGAGUGGAAUUCCCAGUGUAGCGGUGAAAUGCGUAGAUAUUGGGAGGAACACCAGUGGCGAAGGCGGCUCACUGGACCGGAACUGACGCUGAGGCGCGAAAGCGUGGGGAGCGAACAGG